UUCACUGCAUGUAUUCUCUUAUUUCCAUUGAAGCAGGCAAUUGCAACACUGCUUUCAUGCAUCUUGUGGGAAAAAACAAUUCCAUGAGCUGCAGUGUGAGUCUUUCAAAGGUUCUUUAAAAAAUCAGAAAAGGGAAGUGUCAAAAUAAAGAAGGUUUUCGCAGAGUUUGUCAGUGUGUUUCACAUACUCUGUAGAGCGAGGCACUUGAAGAGGCUGUUAGCUUCAGGAUUGUUUCUUGAAUCGGGUUGUUAUGCGAAACCACAGGCUGGAUUCUCCCGUUCCAUCAAAACAGAUGUUGCCACCAUCCCAAGGACAAGUCUCGUGAAUCUACAUGGAAAUAACAUCUCCUGAGAUAAGGAGACCCAAACUGCACACAGGACUGCAGCAUCACCUGCGUCUUCCUGAAAGAUGUCCAAUUCUCUAACCUACCUCCACACUUUGCUGCUUUGUCUACCUUAAGUUUUGAAUUGGACAAUGCUCAUUGACCACCUUUUGUUAGCCACAGGUAAUUCCGCUUUCUUGUUGGGUUCUGCUUUUUGACCUGAAUUUUUCUUUUUUGUUUUCUCUGCUGGUGUUGAAACUUCUGCUUCCAAAUCUGACACUGCUUAUCCAUGGAGAUUGCCCUUAGUCUCUUUUUGUAACCCCCACUUGUAGUGAUUGGAACAAUGUCAGCCAGCUGGACCUCAUAGAAUAUGAGUUUCCUGUUUGGGGCUAUUAACCUGGUCCUGUCAGGGAAGACCUGGCUUACAGAUAUAAACAGGAGUGUCAGGGAUUCUGCUCAUUCUAAGAGCCAGCUCUGUGCUGGCUGGUUCAGUGUCAUGUACUAAACACAUGUAAAUAAAGGUGACUUGGUGAUGGGA